rnacentral:rRNA from 1 species
AGUGAACGCUGGCGGUAGGCCUAACACAUGCGAGUCGAACGGCAGCACAGUAAGAGCUUGCUCUUACGGGUGGCGAGUGGCGGACGGGUGAGGAAUACAUCGGAAUCUACUUUUUCGUGGGGGAUAACGUAGGGAAACUUACGCUAAUACCGCAUACGACCUACGGGUGAAAGCAGGGGAUCUUCGGACCUUGCGCGAUUGAAUGAGCCGAUGUCGGAUUAGCUAGUUGGCGGGGUAAAGGCCCACCAAGGCGACGAUCCGUAGCUGGUCUGAGAGGAUGAUCAGCCACACUGGAACUGAGACACGGUCCAGACUCCUACGGGAGGCAGCAGUGGGGAAUAUUGGACAAUGGGCGCAAGCCUGAUCCAGCCAUACCGCGUGGGUGAAGAAGGCCUUCGGGCUGUAAAGCCCUUUUGCUGGGAAAGAAAAGCAGCAGGUUAAUACCCCGCUGUUCUGACGGUACCCAAAGAAUAAGCACCGGCUAACUUCGUG